rnacentral:rRNA from 1 species
CGGAGUGGACGCAUCACUGGUGUUCGGGUUGUCAUGCCAAUGGCACUGCCCGGUAGCUAAAUGCGGAAAAGAUAAGUGCUGAAAGCAUCUAAGCACGAAACUUGCCCCAAGAUGAGUUCUCCCUGACUCCUUGAGAGUCCUGAAGGAACGUUGAAGACGACGACGUUGAUAGGUCGGGUGUGUAAGCGCAGCGAUGCGUUGAGCUAACCGAUACUAAUGAACCGUGAGGCUUAACC